CCUACGGGUGGCUGCAGUGGGGAAUAUUGGACAAUGGGGGCAACCCUGAUCCAGCCAUGCCGCGUGUGUGAAGAAGGCCCUCGGGUUGUAAAGCACUUUCAGUGAGGAAGAACGCCUGGUGGUUAAUACCCAUCAGGAAAGACAUCACUCACAGAAGAAGCACCGGCUAACUCCGUGCCAGCAGCCGCGGUAAUACGGAGGGUGCGAGCGUUAAUCGGAAUUACUGGGCGUAAAGCGCGCGUAGGUGGCUUGAUAAGCCGGUUGUGAAAGCCCCGGGCUCAACCUGGGAACGGCAUCCGGAACUGUCAAGCUAGAGUGCAGGAGAGGAAGGUCGAAUUCCCGGUGUAGCGGUGAAAUGCGUAGAGAUCGGGAGGAAUACCAGUGGCGAAGGCGGCCUUCUGGACUGACACUGACACUGAGGUGCGAAAGCGUGGGUAGCAAACAGGAUUAGAUACCCGUGUAGUC
rnacentral:rRNA from 1 species